rnacentral:rRNA from 1 species
UACGAAGGGGGCUAGCGUUGUUCGGAUUUACUGGGCGUAAAGCGCACGUAGGCGGAUCGUUAAGUCGGGGGUGAAAUCCUGGAGCUCAACUCCAGAACUGCCUUCGAUACUGGCGAUCUUGAGUCCGGAAGAGGCGAGUGGAAUUCCUGGUGUAGCGGUGGAAUGCGCAGAUAUCAGGAGGAACACCAAUAGCGAAGGCAGCUCGCUGGGACGGUAUUGACGCUGAGGCGCGAAAGCGUGGGGAGCAAACAGG